CGAGCAGCCCGCGAGGCUCCCGCCAUUGCCGCGCAAUUGGAGGCGUCCGGGUGUCAUUUAGUGCAAGAUGAAAUCAAAUGACCCUCUUUCUGAAAUCGCCGUGUCUGUGAGGAGAAGUGAGGACUCUGAGAGGGGUCGUGGUCUCCCGACGCCGCGGCCAUUAUCCCCCAUCGGGGCCUUGGCGGCGGCAUUCAGCGCGAAGCCGGAGCGGCGCCCCGAGAGCCGAGCCAGGCGCGGGCCUUGCCCCACUUCCGGAGCCCCGGCCUUCCGAGGCUCCUUCGCUCGGGGCUCCUCCAUUCCCAGCCGCUGUGCUCCCGGAAGGCCUCCCGGUUGGGCAGCCGGCGAAGAAGAGCGGGGCGGGCGAGGCGACCAGGUCUGCCGGCCGGGCAGCCCCUUCCGGACGCGGCAAGCCGCUCUCCUCCGGAGCUGGUUUAGCGGCCUUUCGUAAAGCAGCACGUAAUUGGUGCUUCCGGGUUGGAGAAAGUUUAAGGCGGCACUUUAAAAUCUGGACUAUGGAGAGCAGCGGACCAAGGCGAUUGGCGAGGAGCUGUCCACUAUUUCAGCAACCCGUUAGUUUUUAUUACUACGCUUACUUCGCAAUUUUUUCCUAAAGCUGCUCAUACAUCCUGUCAGUAUACUUAACAGGGCGAAUUACAGAAUAAUUGGGUUUUGUUUUGCUUUUAAAAAGUCUGAACUUUUGAGGACUUUCCUCUUCCUUGAGCAGAAUUGCCCGUUUCUUUUUCCCCAUGGAAACCACUUCAUUGUAGUAGUUCCGGCAUACUUCGGAAUAUUCUGAGUGAUCUGAAUGAAUGUGCACGCAUGUUUGGGAAAAUAUGCACAAUGUUUCUCUUUAUGAGUAUAUAUGCUUGUGGAUCGCGUGUGUAUUUUACACUGUUUAUAUUGCAGUGUUGAUGCUCUUCCUCUUUGUUUGUAAAUGUCCGAAAAUCCUUACACCCAAAUCUCGGUUUUUAAACGUAACACCGGUGACUGCUGACAGUUACGUUAGGUGAAGGAGAGCAUUAAUCUGUGUCUGUGUCCUCCUUUUCGAAGUGUACAAAAAGGGACCACCAAAAUUGUCGGCGUUCCCAUGUGGUCAAGGGACCCUGCAUUUCUGACAUUCAGUGUAACAUAAUUGCUCUCUUCCAAGUAAUAUCAGGGUGUUUUUUAUAUAUGGGUGUUCUUAUAUAUCUUCUUCAUGUGUUUUUUUAACCAAAACAAAACCCCUGAUAUACAAUAUAUUCUUAAUAUCCUUAAGGGCGUUACGUGGGUGGGUACAUAAAUUCGCUGAAUAAAUUAUGCUUUUCAAAAUCCCAGUGAUCAGUGUAAUAAGUUGGUGAACUGUCUAAGCAGGGGAAGUCUUCCUGUGCCAGCUCCAUUCAAACAAAUGGGAGCUGCUUUUGGGUUUUACAGGUCAUUAGUUCCAUUGAGGGUUGUGCAGGAGACAUUCCCGCCGGAUGAUGGCCUUAGAUUUACGUGCAUAUAUUUUUGCGUCACUUCUGUCUAUUUUCCUAUUAGAAUUCCACACCAGGAUGCUAACAACUGAAAAGUAAAGGACUGCAUCUAGUGGCACGAUCCCACCACCGAUUCGCCUUUCCUUUAAGGGCGCUGGGAUGCCCGCUCCCCCCCCCCCGUUUUUAUAUCUCUUUAGGUUCAGGAGUGGCAGCUUUCUGGUACAAGUGCAACACUGAUUGUUCUCUUAUCUCAGGUUUCAUACCUUCUCCCCAAUACUUGGAAGCAACCCCCUCCUCUAAUUUUAACGGAAUUUACUUACAGUGCAUAAGCACAAAGCCCGCUGGAAUAAAUUAUUUUGUCCUCCUGAGCAUCAUUCGA